AAUGAACGUUGGCGGCGUGGAUUAGGCAUGCAAGUCGCGCGAUGAAGCAGUGCUUGCACUGUGGAUUAGCGGCGAAAGGGAGAGUAACGCGUGGAUACGUACCCUCAGGUCCGGGAUAGCGGCGGGAAACUGCCGGUAAUACCGGAUAAUGUCUCCGGACCAAAGGUGUGAUUCCGCCGGAGGAGCGGUCCGCGUCCUAUUAGGUUGUUGGUGGGGUAAUGGCCUACCAAGCCGAAGAUGGUACCGGGUGUGAGAGCAUGGCCCGGCUCACUGGGACUGAGACACUGCCCAGACACCUACGGGUGGCUGCAGUCGAGAAUCUUCCGCAAUGGGCGCAAGCCUGACGGAGCGACGCCGCGUGCGGGAUGAAGGCCUUCGGGUUGUAAACCGCUGUCAGAGAGGCGGAAAUGCCAUGGGGUUCUCCCCAUGGUUUGACCUAAUCUCAGAGGAAGUGCAGGCUAAGUUCGUG
rnacentral:rRNA from 1 species